rnacentral:rRNA from 1 species
CCCUUAGACGUUCUGGGCCGCACGCGCGCUACACUGACCAGUGCAACAAGCAUCCGUCCUUGGCCGACAGGCCCGGGCAAUCUUUGAACGCUGGUCGUGAUGGGGAUAGACUUUUGCAAUUUUUGGUCUUCAACGAGGAAUUCCUAGUAAGCGCGAGUCAUCAGCUCGUGCUGAUUACGUCCCUGCCCUUUGUACACACCGCCCGUCGCUCCUACCGAUUGAGUGCUCAGGUGAAUAAUUCGGACUGCAGCAGUGUUUGGAUCCCGAACGCUGCAGCGGAAAGUUUAGUGAACCUUAUCACUUAGAGGAAGGAGAANUCGUAACA